rnacentral:rRNA from 1 species
CCUACGGGGGGCUGCAGUGGGGAAUAUUGGACAAUGGGCGAAAGCCUGAUCCAGCCAUGCCGCGUGUGUGAAGAAGGCCUUCGGGUUGUAAAGCACUUUCAGUGGGGAAGAAAGCCUUGGGGCUAAUACCCUCGAGGAAGGACAUCACCCACAGAAGAAGCACCGGCUAACUCCGUGCCAGCAGCCGCGGUAAUACGGAGGGUGCGAGCGUUAAUGGGAAUUACUGGGCGUAAAGCGCGCGUAGGCGGUCUGAUAAGCCGGUUGUGAAAGCCCCGGGCUCAACCUGGGAACGGCAUCCGGAACUGUCAGGCUAGAGUGCAGGAGAGGAAGGUAGAAUUCCCGGUGUAGCGGUGAAAUGCGUAGAGAUCGGGAGGAAUACCAGUGGCGAAGGCGGCCUUCUGGACUGACACUGACGCUGAGGUGCGAAAGCGUGGGUAGCAAACAGGAUUAGAUACCCUAGUAGUC